UGACGUUCUGGUAAUACUUGAGCAGAUCAUCACUGAGUGUUGAGACGGCGCUGGGGACUGCACCCUGCGGCUCCACGUUGCCUUUGCCAUCCAGGUAAGAGACGUGCACGCGCACGGCGGGGGGGGCGCAGCCUUUGGGGAUGUUGGUGUGCAGGGCCAGGUCUGCCAGCGGCACGGCGCGCUCGGGGGGGCACUGAUCAGCAUCCCGCAGCGACGGAGCCUCCCCAGAACCGAACCCACACAGCGCCUCGACGUUGCUCCACCGCAGCGCUCGGUUGAAGUCCUCCACUGUCAGCUUCCGCCUCCGGGUGUGCUUCAGGAACUGGGCGCUGUUCUGGGCCGCCUC
rnacentral:lncRNA from 1 species